AAGGCUCUAGCUUAAUUAAAGUGUCUGGGUUGCAUUCAGAUGAUGUAGGGUAGAAUCCUACGGGCUUUA
rnacentral:tRNA from 1 species